AACUAAUGACAAAUUCGUAAAUAUUAUGUUGGGUGUUUAAUUAAAUGGAUUGAGAAGCAAUGUGAGAACGACAUGUCAGCGUGACAUUUUCCUUAAUGAUACAUAAAAGUAUGGUUAUUUU
rnacentral:sRNA from 1 species